ensembl:misc_RNA 7SK 7SK RNA
GAAUGUGAGGAUAAUCCAUUGGCAACACGUCAUUUCCUUGAUCAACAUGAUUGAUGAGGCUUAUUUGACUGGCGAGGAAUGUUUCUUUCCUCCCUUACAGUUCCAUGUGCAUCCCUUCCAAAGCCACAUGCUCAGUCAAAGAAGAUGGAUGAUCUCCCUAGAUAGAAAAGGGCUGUUCUUUAGUCAAGGAUAUGGAGUGGUUGUGUUUCCACACCAGAACCUUUAUUCCAGUGGUUCUCAAACUUCAGCAUUCAUCAGAACCAUGGGUGGGGAUGGGGGGUGGAAGGAGUGGGUAUUAACCUAUACAUUGCAGGGCUCCACUCUAAGAGUUUCAUUCAGU